rnacentral:rRNA from 1 species
CAGCAGCCGCGGGAAUACAUAGGUGGCAAGCGUUGUCCGGAAUUAUUGGGCGUAAAGCGCGCGCAGGUGGUUUAAUAAGUCCGAUGUGAAAGCCCACGGCUCAACCGUGGAGGGUCAUUGGAAACUGUUAAACUUGAGUGCAGGAGAGGAAAGCGGAAUUCCCAGUGUAGCGGUGAAAUGCGUAGAUAUUGGGAGGAACACCAGUGGCGAAGGCGGCUUUUUGGCCUGUAACUGACACUGAGGCGCGAAAGCGUGGGGAGCAAACAGGAUUAGAUACCCGGGUAGUCCCUGUCUCUUAUAC